AUUGGCUGACUCUUUAUGAUGAUUAACCAAUCACCAUCUUUCGUCUGA
rnacentral:snoRNA from 1 species